rnacentral:rRNA from 1 species
UACGGAGGGUGCAAGCGUUGUCCGGAUUUAUUGGGUUUAAAGGGUGCGUAGGCGGUCUUUUAAGUCAGUGGUGAAAGCCAACAGCUCAACUGUUGAACUGCCAUUGAUACUGGGGAACUUGAGUACUGAUGAGGUAGGCGGAAUGGACGGUGUAGCGGUGAAAUGCUUAGAGAUCGUCCAGAACACCGAUAGCGAAGGCAGCUUACUAAGGAGUAACUGACGCUGAGGCACGAAAGUGUGGGGAUCAAACAGG